rnacentral:rRNA from 1 species
UGAGGGAGGAGGCUCUUGGGUCGUAAACCUCUUUUCUCAGGGAAGAACACAAUGACGGUACCUGAGGAAUAAGCAUCGGCUAACUCCGUGCCAGCAGCCGCGGUAAUACGGAGGAUGCAAGCGUUAUCCGGAAUGAUUGGGCGUAAAGCGUCCGCAGGUGGCUGUGUGUGUCUGCUGUUAAAGAGUGAGGCUCAACCUCAUAAGAGCAGUGGAAACUACACGGCUAGAGUGCGUUCGGGGCAGAGGGAAUUCCUGGUGUAGCGGUGAAAUGCGUAGAGAUCAGGAAGAACACCGGUGGCGAAAGCGCUCUGCUAGGCCGCAACUGACACUGAGGGACGAAAGCUAGGGGAGCGAAUGGGAUUAGAU